rnacentral:rRNA from 1 species
CAGCCGCCGCGGGAAUACGUAGGGUGCGAGCGUUAAUCGGAAUUACUGGGCGUAAAGCGUGCGCAGGCGGUUCGUUAAGACAGAUGUGAAAUCCCCGGGCUUAACCUGGGAACUGCAUUUGUGACUGGCGAGCUAGAGUAUGGCAGAGGGGGGUAGAAUUCCACGUGUAGCAGUGAAAUGCGUAGAGAUGUGGAGGAAUACCGAUGGCGAAGGCAGCCCCCUGGGCCAAUACUGACGCUCAUGCACGAAAGCGCGGGGAGCAAACAGGAUUAGAUACCCCCGUAGUCCCUGUCUCUUAUAC